rnacentral:lncRNA from 1 species
ACUCUCCUGGCUGCUGGGAUUCUAGCAGCCCACUGGGCCUGCUGCGUCCCUAUCUCUGGGUAUCUUUAGAUGCUGUCUCUGGCCUGUCCUAGGAGGGACUCAGACCUUUAGAAUGCCAAAGCAGAGGGUCCCCAGCCCUCUCAAGUGCUAUCCUCAAUGUCUGGCCCAUCACAACCCUGCAGCCCCUGCCACGAACACUGACCUCAAGGGGUCACAGCUGCGGUGGCUUUGCUCAGAGCAGCCCCUGCCAAUCUUAAAGUGGAUGCUAGAAGGGAAGGCCAAGUGAGAAUCCUGGGCGAGCCAUUUCCUGUCUUUCUGUGGGUGUUGGAGCAGGACGGCGGGCGGCGUGGCCGGCUUGGGGGUGGAAUCCUUGCCCUUCUCCGCCUCCUUUGCCAGGUGCAGGAUGGAUGCUGAGAGUCUAUUUUGCAGAUGAGGCAACUGAGCCCAUUGCGUUCUGCCUGUUAGGUGUGGUGCAGGUGCCUGGGCAGAUGUGUACUCCCGAGCCAGCUCCUCAGCCGCAUGACCUUAGGUGAGUCACAUCGCUACUCUGGGCCUCAGUUUUCUCAUCUGCAAAGUGGGAACAAUAAUAUUUUGUUUUUGACUUGCUGGCCACAAAGGCCCUGGAUGAAAGGUAACUUCAUGUGGUUGACUGCUCUGAGCUCCCUCCUCCUGAACCUCUAAUGUGCCCGCUUCCUAGGGAAUGCAAGCUUCCAGAGGGCCAAGCUUUUGCCCAAGUAGUUGCAGCAGGGGCCUGGAGCAGUCAGACCUACUGGGGAAGCAGGUGAGGGGGUUAGUUCCUGGGCACCAGGGUGACAUUGCUCAGGGAUCAUAAAAUUCACGUCCUCACCCACGUCCUUCCUCUUUAUUUUGACUCAGAGCCAAUCCUUGCUUGCUCUUCACUGAGACCAGCCUUCAUCUGCAGAGGUCUCUGGGAGGGAGAAAGGUGCUAAGGAGCUAGGCUUCCCUCUGGGAGGCCCAUCUGAAUAAAAAUAACCAACUUGCCUCACCAUCAGGUCUCGUUCAAGUACCUUCUGGGUGCUUUACAGAGGUUAGCUGAUUUUCUCUUCUCAGCCAAAUGAUGGGGAGAAAUGCCCCAUUUCAUAGAUCAGGAAGCUGAGGCACAGAGAGGUUUAUAGCUUGACGUCACCCAGCUAGAAAAGAAGGAGCUGGCAUUUGAAAUCAGGCAGCCUGGCUCAGAGUGGAGAGGAGACAGAGGUGAAGUCAGCCAGGAGGUGGAGACACCAAGAAGAGCAGGGGAAGGCCCUGGGCAGGGAGGUGAGGAAGCCCCAGGUGAGUGCCAUUGCUAGCACCCGUACUUGGGGUCCCCAACCAACUCAUUUCUCUAUGCCAGCCAGAUGGGGGAGGUGAGUAGAGGAGAGGACGCUGUCUUGUCCGUUCAGGGCUUCCUCCUUAUUAAAGCCUGUCAGAUUUUCCCCGGAACCUCACAAGGAGGAAAGCAGGGGUUUCCACCAGCAGCCUCGGGUCUGCUCGCCACACAGGGUUUUAGAAGUCAGAGGAAUGAGGCUAGGUUGGGUUUAGUCUCCAUACCAGGUUGCCUCAUGCCCACAGUCCUGUGUGCAGGCCUGUGCUGUGUCCCAU